rnacentral:rRNA from 1 species
GUGAGUCAUCGAGUCUUUGAACGCACCUUGCGCUCGUUGGUAUUCCGACGAGCAUGCCUGUUUGAGUGUCAUUAAAUUCUCAACCUCACCACUUUUGUAAUGAGAGUGUGUGUUGGCUUGGAUGUGGGGGUUUGCAGGUCCACUCUUUUGUGGUCUGCUCCUCUGAAAUGUAUUAGUGGGUUUGGUCCCCUAAUCUAUUGGUGUGAUAAUUAUCUACGCCGUGGAUUGGAAGACUAUUAUGAACCUGCUUCUAACCGUCCCUUACACGGACAAUACUUGACAUUUUUGACCUCAAAUCAGGUAAGACUACCCGCUGAACUUAA